rnacentral:rRNA from 1 species
UACGUAGGUGGCGAGCGUUGUCCGGAUUUACUGGGCGUAAAGGGAGCGUAGGCGGACUUUUAAGUGAGAUGUGAAAUACUCGGGCUCAACUUGAGUGCUGCAUUUCAAACUGGAAGUCUAGAGUGCAGGAGAGGGGAAUGGAAUUCCUAGUGUAGCGGUGAAAUGCGUAGAGAUUAGGAAGAACACCAGUGGCGAAGGCGAUUCUCUGGACUGUGACUGACGCUGAGGCUCGAAAGCGUGGGGAGCAAACAGG